rnacentral:tRNA from 1 species
AUCUGGGUGGCUCAGUUGGUUAAGCACCUGACUUCAACUCAGAUCAUGAUCUCAUGGCACGUGGGUUCAAGCCCCAUAUCAGGCU